CGGACUCGCACUCGGAGGCGCCGCUGGUGUUGGUGCCCUCGGACGGCAGCGCCGGGCACAGCUGGAGCCGCUUGCAGGAGGGCUGGACGCGGGGCUCGUCCUCAUACAGCACCUCCACCUGGAGAUGGGAAAGGAGGGAUCCAAACCAUGGGAUCCAUGGAUCCAAACCCCAGGAAAGGAUGGAUCCAAACCCCAGAAAAAAACCCAGGAAAGGAUGGAUCCAAACCCAGGGAAAGGAGGGAUCCAAACCACGGGAUCCAUGGAUCCAAACCCCAGGAAAGGAUGGAUCCAAACCCCAGAAAAAAACCCAGGAAAGGAUGGAUCCAAACCCAGGGAAAGGAUGGCUCAAGCCUCAGGGAACGGAGGGAUCCAAACCCC